AAAAGACCCGCCCAUGAGCUCACUCCCCCACCUACCACCGCCCAAACCUCCGCCGCGAAAUGAGACGCAAAAACUAUGUGCGCGCAUUUGUAACCACCCCAGUCCACAACACGUGAAGGCCCCCAGGAGACCGCCUCGUUGACGCCGGGAGUGCGCACAGCGCCCUGUCCCCUUGACCACCACGUGCGAGCUCUAGCUAGCUAGCCUGGGCAUGGUGACUUUGACCGCAACACCCAGAUGCUGAUGAGCUUCCACCACCCUUCCUUCAUAUUUCACCUCCCCACGUUUCCUCCACUUUGCCCCUAUAUCUUUUUCUUUUCCUUUUCCCUUUCCUUUUCUUUUUCGAAUGAGGUGUAAGCAGCGAGAAAGAACUAAGAAGAUGGAUUUUCUUUUGGGUACCGACUACCGACACAGGAUUUGGUCGGGACAAGGGUUUCGUGAGGUCACCUUCGUGAUGAUGGCGGGUUUGAUUCGAUGGGUCGUUUUCUGGUUUUGUAAAAAAUGGAUUAUGAACAUGCAGCACUAUCAUCACUUUCGACUUCUGAGUCGUAUGGUUGGCCCUAAUCUUCCUCUCUCCCACCCACAUUCAACGUCAGGUGUGUGAGAAAUGAGAA
rnacentral:lncRNA from 1 species